rnacentral:misc_RNA from 1 species
CAUCUAUCGAAGCAGCCAAAAAUCGUGUGGCUACAGAUACUGCACGUUUCUUUCAAGCAACUCUUUCCUCUUUAAGCUUCCGACGGCUUCUGUUUAAAAGGAUUCCCGUUUGCAGACUCUGCAGCAUAAACUCAUGGCGUUUACAUUUCUUUCUCACAUUACCUUCCUCUCUAAACCCUUCACUUUCUCUUCCAAACUGACACCACCAACACCCCUUUACACUAAAACCCACCUUCUCAAACCACUAAACAUAAGACCUCAGCGCACAAAAUGCCAUGCUAUUAGUGAUCUACAAGCCACUACUGUUCCUGAGAGCAGAGAAGUAGAAGAUCAAGAGGAUCACGUGGUGCUUCUGGAUCGCUCUAGUGAGGAGGAAAGGAGAGGGGAGAGAGUGGUGGCAGAAUAUGAAUGGACGAAGGAGUGGUACCCACUUUACCUCACUAAGGAUGUACCAGAUGAUGCACCUUUGGGGCUCACUGUGUUUCAUAAGCAGAUAGUUUUGUUUAAAGAUGGACAGGGUGAGCUUCGUUGCUAUGAGGAUAGAUGUGCUCAUAGGUAAUUGAUUACCUUAUCUCUUUGUGUCUCAAGUACCUGUCAAUUUCUAAUGCUUUUACUAUACUUUUGUUUGGAUCUAUACAAUUUCCUUCUUGUAAGUGAAAUAUGAAUGAGACAGAAAAAUGGUUGAAUUCUCAGAAUCCAAUGUCAUUUUUUAAAGACUCUGAAAUAACUCUUCUAAAGUUUCAUGAGAUGAAAAAGGUUCAAAUAAAUGCCUAGACUUGCAGUCGGAUCGGCUUAAUUUCUGGGUUCUGGCACUUUAAUAGUUCAAUUAGGUAGUUAUCCGGGUGCCUUUCUACUGCUAGUGUUCAUGGAGCAACUCCUCUGUCUUACACAACAGUCAAAGCUUAGGUAGAUUUAUUUUUGGGCACUGAGCAGCAUUGCUUUUAAGCUAUAACAAUCCAGUGAUUGGGUACUUGUUUCAUCAUGCAGCCAGUUAAGAAGUUUAGACCUUUCUUUUUCUUAUUAUCCAAUUGCACUUCUGCCUCAAGAAACCUGAAUUAAGAUUUCAUUUCACCUUUGUGUUAACAAUAUUGUUGAAGGUUAGGAAACCGUAGGUCAAAAGAACGUGAUUUUUGAUAAUUGAGAUUUACAAACUACUAAACCUUGAAUUUUGGCUCUACAUUGAUUCAGGUUAGCUAAACUAUCAGAAGGUCAGUUGAUAGAUGGAAGACUUGAAUGUCUUUAUCAUGGCUGGCAAUUUGAAGGGGAAGGCAAAUGUGUCAGGAUACCUCAGGUCAGUCAUCACUUUCCAUGUGCUCAGUUUCAUUUACAUUUCAUGCCUACUAUUCUUUUUUCAUGUGAUAUCCAUGAAUUUCUUCAUUACAGCUUCCUGCAAACGCUAAAAUUCCUCGCUCGGCUUGUGUCAAGACAUACGAGGUGAGGGAGUCACAAGGAGUUGUGUGGGUAUGGAUGUCCCAAAAGACUCCACCAAACCUUAACAAGCUACCUUGGUUUGAGAAUUUUGCCAGACCAGGGUUCCAAGAUACUUCGGCUGUCCAUGAGCUUCCCUAUGAUCACUCUAUACUUCUUGAAAACCUCAUGGAUCCAGCACAUAUUCCAAUCUCACAUGACAGGACAGACUGGACUGCAAAAAGAGAAGAUGCCCAGCCACUGCGUUUUGAGGUCACUGAACGCACCGAUAGGGGAUUUGCAGGAUGGUGGGGAAAGGAAAAAGAUAAUUCAUUGCUAAACUUCCUACGGUUUGAAGCACCGUGUGUUCUUCAAAAUAAUAGAGAAAUCAUUGAUGAGAAUGGAGUGACGCAGUACUUCACAGGCCUCUUCCUUUGCAGACCAACUGGACAAGGAAAAUCUAUGCUUAUUGUGAGGUUUGGAGGAACAAAAAGAUCCCACAUUGCAAAAUGGAUUCCUGAAUGGUACUUUCAUCAGAAUGCAAGUAAGGUCUUUGAACAAGAUAUGGGAUUCCUGUCAUCCCAAAAUGAGGUUCUAAUGAAAGAAAAAAUCCCCACUAAGAAUCUGUACCUCAAUUUAAGGUCCUCAGAUACAUGGGUAGCAGAAUACAGGAAAUGGAUGGACAAAGUUGGACAUGGGAUGCCCUAUCAUUUUGGGCACAACACAAUCUCUCUGCCUGAACUGCCUGCUGUUAUUGAACAUGCACCAGCCGGGCUUGUUGCUGGAGUUUCAGCUUCUUCACCAGCCAAGGGUGGGAUUGGACAAAUGCAUGCAUCCAAUUUGGGCAACAGGUAUUUCCGGCAUGUAAUCCAUUGCAGGGAAUGCAGUAGUGUUGUCAAAGCUUUUGAGACUUGGAAAAAUACACUUUCGGCUAUAGCUGUUGUAUUGAGUGCAUUGGCUAUUCUAGCUUCCGCAAGGCAGUGGAAGACCUUUCUCUUGGUAUCAGCAGGCUUGUGCUUGGCAGGAGUUUAUGCAUGCUCAACUGCUAUUGCAAUGAAUACAACAAAUUUCAUAAGAACACACAGAAGACUAUGAUUAGGCAGGGGGUUUUACAAGUUCUAAUAUAUGAAGGUUUAGGGCGUGACGUCAAUUGGGCAUACAGAUAUUAAGAUUCCUUUUCGUGCAAACUUGCAAGGAAUGCUUUCUCCCCCUUAAUUCCGAAAAAUUAUUCCAUACCACUGUUGUAUGUAUAAAUAAAUAAAUUUAAUUAUAAGGAAAUUCAUGUAAAAUCUACUAUAAUGAAUGAUUAUAAUAUAAUUAUUAGUAAGUUCAGAACAC